GACGAACGCUGGCGGCGUGCUUAACACAUGCAAGUCGAACGAAGAGCGCUGGAUGCUUGCUUCUAUCAAUCUUAGUGGCGAACGGGUGAGUAACGCGUAAUCAACCUGUCCUUUAGAGGGGGACAACAGUUGGAAACGACUGCUAAUACUGCAUACGACCUAAUCUUGGCAUCGAGGAUAGAUGUAAGGUGGUCUCUACAUGUAAGCUAUCACUGCAGGUGGUGAUUGCGUCUGAUUAGCUAGUUGGAGGGGUAACGGCGCACCAAGGCGAGGAUCAGUAGCCGGUCUGAGAGGAUGAGCGGCCACAUUGGGACUGAGACACGGCCCAGACUCCUACGGGAGGCAGCAGUGGGGAAUCGUCCGCAAUGGACGAAAGUCUGACGGAGCAACGCCGCGUGAGUGAUGACGGCCUUCGGGUUGUGAAGCUCUGUUAAUCGGGACGAAAGGCCUUCUUGCGAAUAGGGAGAAGGAUUGACGGUACCGGAAAAGAAAGCCACGGCUAACUACGUG
rnacentral:rRNA from 1 species